rnacentral:tRNA from 1 species
GUCCUCGUAGCUCAGUGGAUAGAGCGUUUGGUUGCGGUCCAAAAGGUCGUAGGUUCGACUCCUACCGGGGACACCA